UGUGUGAGCCAAAUGAUGGUUAUGUUGAUAUUUGUAUUCCAGAUGAGUUCUUGAUUUCUAGCUUUUCUGAUCCAAUCAAGGCAAUUGUUGAAGAUACAUACCCUGAUCUCAUUCAUAAUUAUCUUGAUUCCAAUUAUCUUCAAAGUCGUGCGAUCUUAGCUUCAACAAUUGAAGUUGUUGAUGAUAUAAACCAAUAUAUCACAAAUCUUAUUCCAGGAGAAGAGAAAGAAUACUUUAGUAGUGAUUCUAUUGAUAAAUCUGAUGUCACUACCUUUGAUGCAUAUGAGCAUGUGACACCUGAGUUCCUAAAUGCUCUCAAAACUUCGGGACUGCCUAACCAUUCAAUCAAGUUGAAAGUUGGUGCCACUAUUAUGUUAAUGCGCAAUUUAGAUCAGUCUGAAGGAUUGUGCAAUGGUACAAGGCUAACUGUAACCAGACUUGCUAAUCAUGUCAUUGAAGCUAAGAUCAUUUCUGGAAAAAAUAUUGGUAACUUAUUUUAUAUUCCUAGAAUGUCUCUAUCUCCCUCACAAUCGCCAUGGUCGUUUAAAUUGGUAAGACGCCAGUUUCCAAUUAUUGUUUCCUUUGCCAUGACUAUUAACAAAUCUCAAGGGCAAUCACUUGAUAAUGUUGGGUUGUAUUUGCCUAAAGAGGUUUUUAGUCAUGGGCAAUUAUAUGUGGCUAUCUCAAGAGUCAAAUCGAAAAAGGGUUUAAGGAUUCUUAUUCAUGACAAAGAUAAAAAAUCUAUGAGCUCUACCACCAACGUGGUAUCCAAAGAAGUGUUCCAUAACAUUUGAAAAGGUCCAAAAAGUAACUUCAUUUUUUAGAUUCAUGCUGCAGCCAAAGUUGUUUUCAAACAACCGUUCCAUAAAGGUCCAAACAUUCACUCCAUUUUUGAGAUUCAUGCUGCAGCCAUAUUUUUAUUUCAAUCAAACAUGCAAAAUAGAUUUUUGACAUUAUAGCUCUUUCAUGUUUUAUGACAUUG